UAAUGAGUGAGGCAGCACUGUACAUAAAAGACGACCUAAACAUCAACGACACUCAAAUCGAGAUCCUCAUCGGCAUCCUCAACCUCUACUCCCUCGCCAGCUCCAUCGCCGCCGGCUACACUUCCGACUGGAUCGGCCGCCGCUUCACUCUCGUCCUCGCCGCCUUCAUCUUCUUCCUCGGUGCUCUCCUCAUGGGCUUCGCCACCUCCUACCUCUUCCUCAUGAUCGGCCGUUUCGUCGCCGGCAUCGGCGUUGGCUACGCUCUCAUGAUCGCCCCCGUCUACACCGCCGAGGUUUCUCCGGCCUCUUCUCGUGGCUUCCUCACUUCCUUCCCUGAAGUCUUCUCUGCUUCACCACCGACGCCACCUUCGUCUCUUCCAAGCGCGUCACCGUCGACACCACCUUCAUCUCCAUCUUUGCUUCAAGAUCAUUGAGGUCUCUGCCAAGCACGUCAAUGUCCAUCUCAAGAUCACCGACUCCUACUGCCAGUUUCAACGAAAACCGAUGAUGGUUUCGAUUUAGGGUUCUAAUUUCAAUCAGUUUGUGAUGAUUUUCUUUUUUAGGUUGUAGUUAUUGAAGGUCUUACACUACAAUGUGUCAGUGUUGUUCUCAAAGGCUCUGGCCGACAUCAGGGCACAAAUUUGUUUGGGGUUUUGACAUAACAGUGAUGAUCGCCGGAAUCCAGCUAAAGCCACGCCGGUUCACCCUAGAAAGACUAUCCAGAUGAUCUUGACAUACCUCCAGUGCAAAAUCAUCGGUCUUUCUUAAAGAAGCAUGUGAUUUAUAAGGAGCUAACACUAUUAAAGAUCCUUUGGUAUUGUCAAAGAUUCAUCAAAUCUAUCGAAUUGGUUAUAUAAAGGAGUAUUGGAUGAGGUAACUAUUGCAAGUCCCG